CAUAAACUGUAAAUGACACAAGAGUUAUCGUGGUUCACCCCAAGGUUUGGGCUACGUCCACACUGAUUGUAUUAUAUUUCUCUGUUGAAGAGGGAGAGAGAGCUUAGGGGAUGUGAGGAGCUUUGAGAGGGGGUGAGAGGCUUCAGAAACGACAUCUGAGGGUGAGAAUGAGCCUCUCCCCUUUGUGAGGGUGAGGAGGUCCUUUUAUAGAAUAAGGGCUCCUCCCCUAAUUACAUAUUUGCCCAUUCCUUUAUUACAUAAUUACGUUUA
rnacentral:lncRNA from 1 species